UCAGAGCCCCUUCAAAGACCUGAGUGAGAGCAGUGUUUUCCUCCUCGUUCUUCGGCAAAGCCAACACCAAGCCCCUCUUGGUACAGAACCGAACAGCAUCGUCAAAAGAACCCGCUCUCUUGUGUGACACAAAGUACUUCUUGUCAACUCUUCUGGUGAAGUCAUAGUUUACGGCUGAAGAGAAACCAGGUAUUAAUUAAUUAGUGUAACACUAAAAGUGGAAACAAAAGUUGCCUUUUUAUAUUUCACAAAUGCCAGCACAUGACUAAAUUCACACCUAAUUUUCCCAAAUUACGAAUACUGCAUAAUUUAUGUUGAACGGAUACUUAGUAAGGUACAACAUAAUCUACAGAUAAAGUAACUUCAUUUGAGCCAGUUUCACACAGCAGGAAAAUAAUCCUGCAGCAACACGAACCAUGAAUUGCUAUUUGGAUUAUAAUUAUUAUUUGUAGGGAUUGUUACAUGUUUUGUUCGGGCAAAUCAAGUGACAUUUUUAAGUGGAAAUGAAAACUUUAAAACCCUUUUUAAACCUUGAAUACACUACAAGUUUGCAUUUCCUGCUGUGCAGGAAGUGAUCAAAUUAAGAUACAGAAUCUGUAAUGUUGCAUACAAGUACAUAACAUUCUGAUCUGAAAUUCACUUCCUUACCCAGCUCCAGUUUGAUCAAGCUGUCUUGCAGGGGUUCCAGGUCUAAGUCUGUGAAAACAGAAGGUGUGACUAGAGAGAACCAAAUAAUAAAUACAGAACCAGGAAGAGAUCAAUCAGCUGAAUACCAGUAGCUCCUGCAGGGCCCGGGGGUCCAGGCGGACCAGGAGGUCCAGGGACAUUACGUCCAUCUAUAGCAGGAAGUUCAUAAGAUCCAGGAAGUCCAGGGAGACCUAUGGAGAGAUAGUAGAGACGUGGAUGUACUUAUGGUUCAUGACAAUAUGUGUUUUAAAGGAUUUCCCAAAUGUCCUAGAUGGAGGAAAAUCUAUCCUGACAGACUUUAUGGACAAUUGAGGCAAAUAUGUUCAGCAUGAGGAAACACACCUACAUACAAAUUAGAAAAAAAAGUGAUCAAUCUAUACUUGAGUUAUCUGACCAUGUAAAGGAUUUUUUUUCAUUAUCUAAGAAUAACAACAGGAUUCACAGCUCUGAAAAUAACUCACUAUACCCCAGCCCCUUUUAAUAGGAUUCACAGCUCUGCUAAUAACUCACUAUACCCCAGCCCCUUUUAAUAGGAUUCACAGCUCUGAUAAUAACUCACUAUACCCCAGCCCCUUUUAAUAGGAUUCACAGCUCUGAUAAUAACCUACUAUACCCCAGCACCUUUUAAUAGGAUUCACAGCUCUGCUAAUAACUCACUAUACCCCAGCCCCUUUUAAUAGGAUUCACAGCUCUGAUAAUAACCUACUAUACCCCAGCACCUUUUAAUAGGAUUCACAGCUCUGCUAAUAACUCACUAUACCCCAGCCCCUUUUAAUAGGAUUCACAGCUCUGCUAAUAACUCACUAUACCCCAGCCCCUUUUAAUAGGAUUCACAGCUCUGCUAAUAACUCACUAUACCCCAGCCCCUUUUAAUAGGAUUCACAGCUCUGCUAAUAACUCACUAUACCCCAGCACCUUUUAAUAGGAUUCACAGCUCCGCUAAUAACUCACUAUACCACAGCCCCUUUUAAUAGGAUUCACAGCUCUGCUAAUAACUCACUAUACCCCAGCCCCUUUUAAUAGGAUUCACAGCUCUGAUAAUAACUCACUAUACUCCAGCCCCUUUUAAUAGGAUUCACAGCUCUGCUAAUAACUCACUAUACCCCAGCCCCUUUUAAUAGGAUUCACAGCUCUGAUAAUAACUCACUAUACUCCAGCCCCUUUUAAUAGGAUUCACAGCUCUGCUAAUAACUCACUAUACCCCAGCCCCUUUUAAUAGGAUUCACAGCUCUGAUAAUAACUCACUAUACCACAGCCCCUUUUAAUAGGAUUCACAGCUCUGCUAAUAACUCACUAUACCCCAGCCCCUUUUAAUAGGAUUCACAGCUCUGAUAAUAACUCACUAUACCCCAGCCCCUUUUAAUAGGAUUCACAGCUCUGCUAAUAACUCACUAUACCACAGCCCCUUUUAAUAGGAUUCACAGCUCUGAUAAUAACCUACCCUACCCCAGCACCUUUUAAUAGGAUUCACAGCUCUGCUAAUAACUCACUAUACCCCAGCACAUUUUAAUAGGAUUCACAGCUCUGCUAAUAACUCACUAUACCCCAGCACCUUUUAAUAGGAUUCACAGCUCUGCUAAUAACUCACUAUACCCCAGCCCCUUUUAAUAGGAUUCACAGCUCUGCUAAUAACUCACUAUACCACAGCCCCUUUUAAUAGGAUUCACAGCUCUGAUAAUAACCUACUAUACCCCAGCACCUUUUAAUAGGAUUCACAGCUCUGCUAAUAACUCACUAUACCCCAGCACCUUUUAAUAGGAUUCACAGCUCUGCUAAUAACUCACUAUACCCCAGCCCCUUUUAAUAGGAUUCACAGCUCUGGUACAGACAAAUGAUAUACUGACAAAAUAUUUUGGCAACUGGUACAGACAAAGCCUCUUUCUGUGAAUUGGUGUGGUGAUCUAAUUGAGGUCAUUCACAGUUCUUUGUCUUCCAAAUCCACACACAGUGGGAAAGCAGCACCACGGCUGUGGUCCAUAAUGCUUUCAAGGGUGUUGUGACCCCCUUACAUGUUUAUGAUGUAAAUAAUGAAGUGAGAACAGUUAAUAUGUCAGAAUCUACCUCUCUUUCCAGGUGGACCAGGAAGUCCAGGCAUGCCUAUGGAGAGACAACAGGGAUAGGGCUCAUCACCAUACCGUACACACCAACGACUGCUUCAAUUAGCCUGCUAACAGCAGGAAAUAUACCGGAUUGGGCUUUCACAUUAUACCCCAGCCCCAGCUUUGUUUGGCAACUGGUACAGACAAAGCCUUUUUUUGUAGGAGUAGGAGGGUUUAUCUAACUGAGGGACUUCAGAGUUCUCUGUCCCCUCAUCAUCACUCCAUCAUCAGAAUGCCCAGGAGGGCCAUCAGUCCCAGAAGGCCCAGGAGGGCCACCAGUCCCAGGAGGGCCAUCAGUCCCAGAAGGGCCAGGAGGGCCAGCAGGCCCACGAGGGCCAGGAUACCCUGUAGGACCCUGGCAUUCACACUUCUCCGUCUGGCCUGGCAGAACCAGCAGGGAGAGAACACAGAGCCCCAAAGUCAGAGGUCUGCUCAUCGCCAUAACCUAAAACAGCAGGGAGAAGACAGAGACCAAAGGGACAGUAAAUCACUGGUGUCAUACAAAUAGAAGCACAGGAAACAUCUGCUUAUAAAGUACAUGAUAGGAACAUUUACUGUCAAUGGGAUCGACAAGAAUACAAGCUGUUGAAAAGUAGCAUACAGAAUAUGUGAAUGUGUCAUUUCAACAGCUUGACUCUGCCACUUUGUUGCCAGCUGAGGGAUGGAACGGAAAUGUAACCUCUCUCAAAUGAGAUAGAUGGAACUAUUGAUGCAAGGACUGACAGGAGAUCAACAUGCUGCUUUAAACAGAAGCUAUUGGUGUGUUUACAACGACUCAAAUGGAACAGCAACAGAAACAGUGAGGUAAUAGGAACAUAGAUGUAUGACAGGGUAACACAGUUAGAAUCAGCUCAUAACAGUGAGGUAAUAGGAACAUAGAUGUAUGACAGGGUAACACAGUUAGAAUCAGCUCAUAACAGUGAGGUAAUAGGAACAUAGAUGUAUGACAGGGUAACACAGUUAGAAACCGCUCAUAACAGUGAGGUAAUAGGAACAUAGAUUGAUGACAGGGUAACACAGUUAGAAUCAGCUCAUAACAGUGAGGUAAUAGGAACAUAGAUUGAUGACAUGGUAACACAGUUAGAAUCAGCUCAUAACAGUGAGGUAAUAGGAACAUAGAUUGAUGACAGGGUAACACAGUUAGAAUCAGCUCAUAACAGUGAGGUAAUAGGAACAUAGAUUGAUGACAGGGUAACACAGUUAGAAUCAGCUCAUAACAGUGAGGUAAUAGGAACAUAGAUGUAUGACAGGGUAACACAGUUAGAAUCAGCUCAUAACAGUGAGGUAAUAGGAACAUAGAUGUAUGACAGGGUAACACAGUUAGAAUCAGCUCAUAACAGUGAGGUAAUAGGAACAUAGAUUGAUGACAGGGUAACACAGUUAGAAUCAGCUCAUAACAGUGAGGUAAUAGGAACAUAGAUUGAUGACAGGGUAACACAGUUAGAAUCAGCUCAUAACAGUGAGGUAAUAGGAACAUAGAUUGAUGACAGGGUAACACAGUUAGAAUCAGCUCAUAACAGUGAGGUAAUAGGAACAUAGAUGUAUGACAGGGUAACACAGUUAGAAUCAGCUCAUAACAGUGAGGUAAUAGGAACAU